AACGAACGCUGGCGGCAUGCCUAACACAUGCAAGUCGAACGAGACCUUCGGGUCUAGUGGCGCACGGGUGCGUAACGCGUGGGAAUCUGCCCUUGGGUUCGGAAUAACAGUUGGAAACGACUGCUAAUACCGGAUGAUGACGUAAGUCCAAAGAUUUAUCGCCCAAGGAUGAGCCCGCGUAGGAUUAGCUAGUUGGUGAGGUAAAGGCUCACCAAGGCGACGAUCCUUAGCUGGUCUGAGAGGAUGAUCAGCCACACUGGGACUGAGACACGGCCCAGACUCCUACGGGAGGCAGCAGUGGGGAAUAUUGGACAAUGGGCGAAAGCCUGAUCCAGCAAUGCCGCAUGAGUGAUGAAGGCCUUAGGGUUGUAAAGCUCUUUUACCCGGGAUGAUAAUGACAGUACCGGGAGAAUAAGCUCCGGCUAACUCCGUGCCAGCAGCCGCGGUAAU
rnacentral:rRNA from 1 species